UACGUAGGGUCCGAGCGUUGUCCGGAAUUAUUGGGCGUAAAGAGCUCGUAGGCGGUUUGUCGCGUCUGCUGUGAAAUCCCGAGGCUCAACCUCGGGUCUGCAGUGGGUACGGGCAGACUGGAGUGCGGUAGGGGAGAAUGGAAUUCCUGGUGUAGCGGUGGAAUGCGCAGAUAUCAAGAGGAACACCUGAGGUGAAGACGGGUUGCUGGGCCAACACUGACGCUGAUGCGCGAAAGCCAGGGGAGCAAACGGG
rnacentral:rRNA from 1 species